GAUCCUUGUGUGAUAGGGCUUCCCCGUGGUGGGAACUCCAGGCCUUUUGCUCUAGGCUGAAGAUGUGAAGCAUGCCACUAGAAAGCUCAAAACUGAUGUAAUUCAGGCCUGGAGCAUCUUGUGAGAGUGGCUGCGCUGAAUUCCUUCCUACCAGGAUUUCUCUAAAGCACUCAGGAAUCCCAGGGCAGACAUACAUCUCCUCUCCCUUCGCUGCAUGGCUCACCAGCUGCGUGCCAAAACUUCCAAGGGAAAUACUCAGAAGAUGAAAACUCCUCAGCAGCAAAGCACCAAUUUCGCGUCAGGCAGUGUGUCAGCAAGAUGAGAGAAAACAACCCUUUAACCUCUUUAAGACCCCAAUGCCUGCUAGGCGUUCAGCUCAGCACUUCAGGCACGGCUUGUGUUUGUGGACACCAAGGUCAUGUUUUUAAAGACAGGCAUUCAAAUGGCACACAAAAAAUAUGCAGGCAGGGGUGCAAAGGGGGUAAUUGCGCGUACGAAACAUGCAGUUGCAAACACCCACCGGGUAAUUGUGUGCUCACAAGCAUUCAGCUGCACCUGCAGUUUCCUGGUUUCCCUUUUAGAACGACGUCUCUGUGCCCAGGCAUGCCUGCUUGGCGUGUUUCAUUUCUGCACUUGAAACCGUGGCCCAAAGCACCGCGUUGCUGUUUAGCACAGGUUUGAGCCGCUGAUUUCAAAGCUGCUCUAAUUAGUAACUUGCAGUUAGUGUACUCUACCAAUUCUCAGCCCACUGGGAUAUCACCAGGCUUUAUUGUUUCUUUCUGUCUUUGUGGAACUUCUGUAAAUCUUUUCUUUGAUAGCAGCUACGGUUUCAAAGCUGCCCACGUUUGAGCCAGAGGAGGCUAAUAAUGGUCUAAUUAAUGAAAGAUGUUUUCCUCUGCAUUGCUGUAUUUUAUCUCUUCCCCAAAGACUUGUCGGUGCAACCAAACCCCAGGCACCAGCCAGAUCCUUUCUUUUCCUCACAUAUUUGAGAAAUACACCGAUAUAUGGUGUGUAUCCCAUGCUGUUCUCACUUGAGUGUGUAAAUCUUGAAAAAUCUUCCCAAGUGUAGCUCGGAUUUAGGAAGCAGCUUUGUUAUUCCCAGCAGGUUUUCCUUCCAGCUAAGAUUUGUUUCUCUAGCUCAAACCACAAAGCCACUUUAACUCUCCCUAAAAGACUUCAGUCUGUGUAAGCUGCAG
rnacentral:lncRNA from 1 species